AAUUAUUUUUUUUUAAAAAUUAAAAAAUCAUUAAAUUGAUUUCUGCCUAAAAUUUCUGCCAUUCGAAAAUAUAUCUAGUUAAAUUCCAAUCUUUUCCACUCAUUACAACUCGAAAUUAUCUUUUUCAAGUUCUUACAUCGGUAUUUAUCGUAUAAACUAUCGUAAGAAAGAACAUCAACCAUUCUGCGAGUAUUCUUUAUUCUAUGUAAUUAAAUCGACAUUAACGUCAUUAAACUAACGCUGGAGGCGCUAGUACGUAGUGCGUAUAAGAGUACCAAUUAAGCACGUACGUUUUGACACUUGUUAUGAAAUGUACGAGCAAAAAACAAGAUAUUAGUACAAAAAUUAAAUACAAAUCCUUAUAAUCGUUUUUUAUAAUUUGCUCGUAAUUUUAUGUAUCAGAUUAAACUCGUAAUUUAUUUUAGAAAAAUCUUUUUUCAGUCAUAGAACAAGUUAGUAAAGUUUAUGCGGAACUUGUAGAACACUUUGUAUAGAAGUAUUGGUUAAACAAUUCGGUAUAACAUGAUAAUGGAGAGAAAAUAGGAAAAGUACUCUAGAUUAACGUGGACAGCAUCGAAUAUAUAUAGUAAAUAGUCUAUAA